UGUGGAAGCGGUGUCGCUCAACGGAUAAAAGGUACCCCGGGGAUAACAGGCUGAUCUUCCCCAAGAGUCCAUAUCGACGGGAUGGUUUGGCACCUCGAUGUCGGCUCGUCGCAUCCUGGGGCUGGAGUCGGUCCCAAGGGUUGGGCUGUUCGCCCAUUAAAGCGGCACGCGAGCUGGGUUUAGAACGUCGUGAGACAGUUCGGUCCCUAUCCGCCGCGCGCGUAGGAGUCUUGAGAAAGGCUGUCCCUAGUACGAGAGGACCGGGACGGACGAACCUCUGGUGUGCCAGUUGUUCCACCAGGAGCACGGCUGGUUGGCUACGUUCGGAAGGGAUAACCGCUGAAAGCAUCUAAGCGGGAAGCUCGUUUCGAGAUGAGGACUCCCACCCUUUGUGGGGUAAGGCCCCCGGCUAGACCACCGGGUUGAUAGGCCGGAAGUGGAAGCACGGCAACGUGUGCAGCUGACCGGUACUAAUAGGCCGAGGACUUACCACA
rnacentral:rRNA from 1 species